GGCCUCAUCGUCUAACGGUUAGGACACAAGAUUUUCAUUCUUGUAAUUGGAGUUCGACUCUCCAUGAGGCUA
rnacentral:tRNA from 2 species